rnacentral:rRNA from 1 species
AACGCGAAGAACCUUACCAGGUCUUGACAUCCUCUGACAAUCCUAGAGAUAGGACGUCCCUUUCGGGGGCAGAGUGACAGGUGGUGCAUGGUUGUCGUCAGCUCGUGUCGUGAGAUGUUGGGUUAAGUCCCGCAACGAGCGCAACCCUUGAUCUUAGUUGCCAGCAUUCAGUUGGGCACUCUAAGGUGACUGCCGGUGACAAACCGGAGGAAGGUGGGGAUGACGUCAAAUCAUCAUGCCCCUUAUGACCUGGGCUACACACGUGCUACAAUGGACAGAACAAAGGGCAGCGAAACCGCGAGGUUAAGCCAAUCCCACAAAUCUGUUCUCAGUUCGGAUCGCAGUCUGCAACUCGACUGCGUGAAGCUGGAAUCGCUAGUAAUCGCGGAUCAGCAUGCCGCGGUGAAUACGUUCCCGGGUCUUGUACACACCG